CGCAGGCGCAGACGUGGCUCCACAUAAAUUUUUCCUUGGGCUGGUUUCCUGCAUGUCUUUUAAGUAUUUGCUUUUAGUUUCCGUGUUUUGGUGUUUUGUUUGUUCGUUUUUUUUUUUUUUUUGUUUUUACGACAAUGCCUUCUAGGGGAACAGUGUCGCUGGGCUGGGCGGUGGAGAGACACCUUUGGCACCAUCGUGCGAUCUCAUGCACCCUACCAGUGAUCAACCCUUUGAGUCUGGCUUAGCUCAGGCAGAAAUUGUAGUCUGCAAAAGAAACUGAGAAGAAGAGGGCAAGGAGAGUGUGGCAUCCCAAGACAUAAAGACUCAAAUCAAUGAGAGCAAGCAACUCUGUCAAAUUUCACCAGAAGUGAGGACUAAAUAUUGACUACCGAAUUUUGCAAGGUAGGAAUCACUGGUAAAC
rnacentral:lncRNA from 10 species